rnacentral:tRNA from 5 species
CGGGGCGUAGCGUAGCCCGGUAGCGCGCCUGCUUCGGGAGCAGGAGGUCGCUGGUUCAAAUCCAGUCGCCCCGACCA